UACGAAGGGGGCGAGCGUUGUUCGGAAUUACUGGGCGUAAAGGGCGCGCAGGCGGCCCUUGAAGUCAGGCGUGAAAGCCCCGGGCUCAACCUGGGAGGUGCGCUUGAUACUCGAGGGCUUGAGUGCGGGAGAGGAGAGUGGAAUUCCCAGUGUAGCGGUGAAAUGCGUAGAUAUUGGGAGGAACACCGGUGGCGAAGGCGGCCCUCUGGACCGGUACUGACGCUGAUGCGCGAAAGCAUGGGGAGCAAACGGG
rnacentral:rRNA from 1 species